GGCUGGUAAGAUGGUGGUAACGUUAACGUUACCAAAAUUGAUAUACAACCCCACAUUGCUGAAUUUGACUGGCUUUAA
rnacentral:Y_RNA from 1 species